ACGCAUGAUUACGACGUCAAGAUGCGCAAUGUCUUCAAGUUUCUGGAAAGCGGCGACAAGGUGAAGGUCACCCUGCGUUUCCGCGGCCGCGAGAUGGCGCACCAGAACCUGGGCCGUGAACUGCUGGAACGGGUGGCAGAGGACACCAAGGAAAUCGGCAAGGUCGAGAACUUCCCCAAGAUGGAAGGUCGCCAGAUGGUCAUGAUGAUCGGCCCGACGCAGCGCUGAGCGCCUCGUGACCCGAUGAAUGCACGGAAACCCCGGCCUUGCGCCGGGGU
rnacentral:misc_RNA from 1 species